CAGGUGUCCCAUGCCGCCGCGCAUGGGGUUAAACGGGAAACCGGUACGAGUCCGGUGCUGCCCCCGCAACGGUAUGCAAGUGAUGCCUUCGACAGACCACUGUGGCCAAUGCGCCAUGGGAAGGUGAAGGCGUCUAGUCUUGCGAGCCCGGAGACCGGCCUGGAAUG
rnacentral:ncRNA from 1 species